UGGGGAAUAUUGGACAAUGGGGGCAACCCUGAUCCAGCCAUGCCGCGUGUGUGAAGAAGGUCUUCGGAUUGUAAAGCACGUUAAGUUGGGAGGAAGGGCUUUAGGUUAAUACCCUGAAGUUUUGACGUUACCAACAGAAUAAGCACCGGCUAACUCUGUGCCAGCAGCCGCGGUAAUACAGAGGGUGCAAGCGUUAAUCGGAAUUACUGGGCGUAAAGCGCGCGUAGGUGGUUCAGUAAGAUGGGUGUGAAAUCCCCGGGCUUAACCUGGGAACUGCUUUCAUAACUGCUGAGCUAGAGUACGGUAGAGGGUAGUGGAAUUACCUGUGUAGCGGUGAAAUGCGUAGAUAUAUGAACGAACUCCAGUGGCGAAGGCGACUACCUGGACUGAUACUGACACUGAGGUGCGAAUAGCGUGGGGAGCAAACACGAUUAGAUAGCCCUGGUAGUUACGCCGUAAACGAUGUCAACUAGCCUGUGGAGUGCUUGAGACUUUAGUGGAGCAGCAAACGCACUAAGUUGACCGCAUGGGGAGUACUGUCGCAAGAUUACAUCUCUAAUGAA
rnacentral:rRNA from 1 species